CAAAAAAAAAAAAGAAAUCUGAUAAAAAUUCAACUACUUCAGCAAGAGAAAGAUCAGAGUGCACAGUGGAUCCUCGUCAGCAAUAAAAAUGAGUUCUCAUACAGGGAAGCAAAGCUGCCCCUUCGAGUUUGAGACAACAUUAUAUAUAAAUACAAGAACUAGGUGUGCAUUAGUUAGUUGGCAAGAGGUGCGUUUGGUUGGGAUUCAGCUCGUGGGGCGGUUCGUGGUGGAGGCAAGGUAAGGCAAGGUGGUGGUCUUGGUUUAACCAAAGAUCAGAUCAGUCAUGGCCAACUGCUUUGUCCUUUUUAGACUGCUUUUCUUGCUUCUCUCUCUCUCAGUUGUUCAAAUACACAGCCUUGGCGUUGGGAUCAACUAUGGCCAGAUUGCUAACAAUCUUCCAUCUCCAUCUCGAGUUUCGCUUCUCCUUCAAUCCUUGAACAUUACAAGGGUAAAACUCUAUGAUGCUGAUCCAAAUGUCCUACUUGCCUUCUCCAAUUCAAAUGUUGAUUUCAUUAUUGGACUUGGAAAUGAGUACCUUCAGAACAUGACAGACCCCAUCAAAGCUCAAAAUUGGGUUCAACAGCACCUUCAACCCCACCUCCCUCAGACCAAAAUCACUUGCAUUACUGUAGGAAAUGAGGUCUUCAUUAGCAAUGAUACUCAGUUAAUGUCUUAUCUACUCCCAGCAAUGCAAACAGUAUAUCAUGCUCUUGUUAAUCUUGGACUAGAUAAGCAAGUGACCGUCACAAGCGCGCAUUCCCUCAACAUCUUGGCCAACUCCUACCCUCCUUCUUCUGGGAGUUUUAGACCAGAUCUUGCUGAAUUUAUUCAACCCCUUUUGAAUUUUCAUUCUCAAAUUAAUUCUCCUUUCCUUAUCAAUGCAUAUCCUUAUUUUGCAUACAAGUAUAACCCGAGUCAGGUGCCUUUAGAUUAUGUCCUUUUCCAGCCUAACCAAGGGUUGACAGAUCCAAAUACGAAUUUGAAUUAUGAUAAUAUGUUGUAUGCUCAAAUUGAUGCUGUGUAUUCGGCAAUUAAAGCAAUGGGGCAUACAGAUAUUGAAGUAAGGAUUUCGGAGACAGGUUGGCCAUCUAAAGGGGAUACAGAUGAAGCAGGAGCUACACCUGAAAAUGCAGGCCUAUAUAAUGGUAAUCUAUUGCAGAGAAUACAGGAGAAGCAAGGUACACCUGCAAAACCAUCAGUUCCGAUUGAUGUAUACGUUUUCGCACUUUUCAAUGAGGACUUAAAGCCUGGUCCGACAUCAGAAAGGAACUAUGGGCUAUUCUACCCUGAUGGUACCCCAGUUUAUAACAUUGGAUUACAGGGUUAUCUUCCAGAGUUAACUUAUUCUUCAGCAUCCACGAAAAAUGUUUUAUCUGUAUUCAGUGCAGUGAUCUAUGUUAUGAUAAACUUAAUCUGUGCUUAGGAGCACCUGAUUCACUGGUAGAGGGAGGGAGAGACUAACACAAUCAAAUUCUUAGAGAUCGUAUAACUGCAAGAGGAGUUUUUUUUUUUUUUCUGAAAAGGUAAAAAAUGUCAGCAGCCAGCAGGAUAAUAUUAUUCCAUCAGUGGACAAAGCAUCUCUUUGCAAGUUUCUUUCUGUAAAACAAUAAAAUAUAUGAGAUUAUUAAUCACUAACAAAUCAGAAGGUUCCAUCCUCGAUUGGUCAUUCAUCUAUAGGUUAAAUUUAAUAGAGUCUUUUACAGGGAAUAUGGUGAAACUGAGGUAGGCUGAGAGCUAUUUCAUGGAAAUACCAAUUCUUUUGACAGACGUCUAAUAAAGUAUUUUAUGAGAAAUAGAUUGUUUGAACUGGUUUA